rnacentral:rRNA from 1 species
GAUGAACGCUGGCGGCGUGCCUAAUACAUGCAAGUCGAGCGAAUGGAUUAAGAGCUUGCUCUUAUGAAGUUAGCGGCGGACGGGUGAGUAACACGUGGGUAACCUGCCCAUAAGACUGGGAUAACUCCGGGAAACCGGGGCUAAUACCGGAUAAUAUUUUGAACUGCAUGGUUCAAAAUUGAAAGGCGGCUUCGGCUGUCACUUAUGGAUGGACCCGCGUCGCAUUAGCUAGUUGGUGAGGUAACGGCUCACCAAGGCAACGAUGCGUAGCCGGCCUGAGGGGGUGAUCGGCCACACUGGGACAGAGAACCGGCCCAGACUUCUACGGGAGGCAGCAGUAGGGAAUCUUCCGCAAUGGACGAAAGUCUGACGGAGCAACGCCGCGUGAGUGAUGAAGGCUUUCGGGUCGUAAAACUCUGUUGUUAGGGAAGAACAAGUGCUAGUUGAAUAAGCUGGCACCUUGACGGUACCUAACCAGAAAGCCACGGCUAACUACGUGCCAGCAGCCGCCGUAA